rnacentral:rRNA from 1 species
UGAGUCGAGCGAGGGCUCAUUUCCCGCAAGGGAGAUGGGUUCCUAGCGGCGAACGGGUGAGUAACACGUGGGCAACCUUUCCUAUCGCGGGGGAUAACAGCGGGAAACCGCUGCUAAUACCGCAUGUCGUCACCGGUCGCAUGGCCGGUGAAGAAAGCAGCAAUGCACGAUGGGGUGGGCCCGCGGCCUAUCAGCUAGUCGGUGGGGUAACGGCCUACCGAGGCGAUGACGGGUAGCUGGUCUGAGAGGACGACCAGCCACACGGGGACUGAGACACGGCCCCGACUCCUACGGGAGGCAGCAGUGAGGAAUCUUCCGCAAUGGGCGAAAGCCUGACGGAGCGACGCCGCGUGUGGGAUGAGGUCCUUCGGGAUGUAAACCACUGUUGGAGGGGAAGACAUCGACGGUACCCUCCGAGAAAGCCCCGGCUAACUACGUGCCAGCAGCCGCGGUAAUACGUAGGGGGCUAGCGUUAUCCAGAUUUACUGGGCGUAAAGCGCGUGUAGGCGGCUGGUUAAGUGUGAUGUGAAAUCUUCGGGCUCAACCCGAAAACUGCAUUGCAAACUGGCCUGGCUAGAGUGCAGAGAGGGAGCGGAAUUCCAGGUGUAGCGGUGAAAUGCUAAUAUCUGGAGGACACCAGUGGGCGAGCGGCUUCCUGCCUGUCUGCGCUGACGCCGAAGCGUGGGGAGCAACGAAUUAAUCCCGGGUACCACGCCCUACUUGCAACU